UGUCAUGGGGAAGAUCUACGAUGAGGAAACAGCUGUUUGCAUGAUGGGGUCUGGAUGGGCACAAGUCACGAAGGACAAAGGCCAAGGGCCUGCAGGAUCCACGAGGCCUUCGCACCCAUGAAGACACCGCUGCUGAGUCAGGCCCAGGGCUGCGUGCACACCCAAGAAAUACAUAUGUGCUGAUAGAAAGCAGAUUUAAAAGUUACCUAAAAUAAUAGCUUGUUAAGACAGUAUUACAGUCAUAUAACUUGUUGGGAAAAGCACACCAUGGCUCAAAAUCUGAAUUAAACAUGUGUCACUGUGGUGAAGAAAGAAAUCUUCCACCUUCCAGAAACCUGACAUUUUGGACCAAAUCCCUCUCUGAACAGGUUGUAUGCUGCCCUUUUCAAAAUCAAGCUAUCAGAAGAUGCCCUUCAGCAGAAGUGUUAAGAGGACUUGGUGAGCUUAACAUGUUUCGCCUGCUUAAUUUAAUUUGGAAAAAUUCAACCAGAAAAUGAAGUUAUUAACAGGUUGGUACAUUCAGAGAUAAGAUGAUGUCACAGGGAAGCAGUCAAGUGGGUUGCUUGUCAAAAUAUAAAAUAUGUAUCUGUCAGAAUCAAAUGAUAGAUAAGCUGUGGCUGGGUGUAGGAUGCGGUGAAAAUAGUGUGCUAAAAAUUGAAACUGAAUCCCACCAGUCUGGAGCACAAGCUUUUAGUAACAAUUGUGGUGAUCAGAAAUAUAACAAUUCUGGGGACAUGAACUGCACUGCUGAGGCACUGUAUGUGUAAUUUCUUGGCACCAGUAGCCACAGGUAUGUGCAUCAGCAGUAGACCCCAAACAGGAGAGAUCUGGGAAAGCAUGGCUCCCUCAGCAGAAGACUGAAACUUGGACACCCCAUUAGGUUGGGUAUUCCAAAAUGAGGAUUAGUAAAUCUUUUCUUGGGUAACUUGGAGACAUUUAAGGCCUCCAAAUGUGAAAACAGAGUUUGUCUAGCCAACAUGAUGAGCCUUCCUGUAUUAGAGAGGUUCAGAUCAAAGAGAGAAAUCUCCAGUGCAUUCUCCAGGAACGCGUACACGUCAUGCAACUCACAGGCCUCUUCCUGUCUUCUGGCUUGCCAUAUAAAAUAGCUGGCACCAGGAGUUUAAAGUUAAUAAACUCAGGAAUUGUAAAUGGCAAUUUGGAGUCUUGCAUGAGCAAAACAGAAUAGGCUACUUAACAAGGAAUGCAGUCAAACUCCCAAAUAAUGUGAUGGCAAAAUGAGAGAAAUACCAUUAUAAUAAACUUUGCUAUUGCGUUAUCAUUGAAUUUGGGAAAAUGAUUCCACUUAUGUGGGACUGUAUUCACUGCAAGUUGCAAAACUGAACUUUAAGACUAUAAACUCCUGGGGAUGGCUCAUGAAAUCUCUUUUUGCUCAGGGUCUUCCAAGAUGCAGAGUUUAAUUGUGACUGGGAACUCUGAGGACUAACACAAUACAAAUAAUAGAAGUGCUAAAUAAAAACGCUGCUUUUGUAUUUAAAGGUCAGAAGUGACUAGUCUGACCUCUUGAUCUACAGGCCAUAGGACUUUGUCCAGUAACAUCAACAUGAGAUUUCUAAUUGAUGUUUCAACUUAUAUCACUCUUAAAGCUUCAGCUUGAGAUAUAUUCCUCCUCAGGAAAGAAUCAGUUGUA